AGAUACAAGUUCUCAGUCUCGACAAGUUGGUCCGAGACUCUGGUGUGGGACACGUUAUCGUCUCAACACUGUUGCGCCUCCGACAUCCUGUAGCAGUUCCGAUACUCUCCCCGACUGAUCAAUGACGGAGGUAACUUGUGAGCAUGGUUUCACUGUGGAUUCACGGGUUCCGAUAUGACGCCUCACACACGGAUCCGAUCGAUGCUUGCGACUUCUCUCGUUUGGAGUCGGCAAUUAUUCUUCCGUAUUUCGAAAAUGUAGCAAUUCCGAUAUUCACCAGCCGGAGUCCUAACGAGAAUCGGAAGCUCGAGGUGCGGUUUUUUCUCCGAUUGUGUUUCGUUUGAGCCGGCGCUUCUUGCCUCACUUCUUGGCACUCCAAGAAUUAGGAUUAUAGGGUUGCUUGCAGAUAUGGUGAACCAGGCACGCUUGCAAGCAUGGACGUCGAGGUUGAUUUGGAAAUGGUGAGAAGAAGUGAAUGCAUGAACCAAUAACCAACCCGGUGGUUAGAAUUUUGCUUUGGCGUACUUUUGCGCUGUGGGCAAGAGUUGGAGGACGGGGUCACAAGAUUGUUGCAUCAACGGGGUCAACACACUAAGUGUGAUUUGUUUCAGGUUUACACUCACUGUGACAGCUCAAGAAGUGCUUCGACAUACAGUACUUUGAGAAGAGGACGGAGUUGUAUCCAAAUAACAGUAGCAUCAGCAAUGCAUUCUGUGAGCGACGAUCCCAUGAUUUGGGAGAGCCUUCUUCCAUACCUAAAGACGCUGGACAAAUUCGUAUUGGCAGCUCGAGCCGAGGAGAUUCAGAGAGAGCAGCCAGAAAAUGCCGUUGACGAGAAUUGUAUUGACGCAGCUGCUGGUGACAUGAACGUGACAGAGAUAGGUGCUAUGGGGGCCGCAGUAGUGGAUCAAUAUCACUCCGCUGAUCAGGAUGCGACGAGCAAGCCUGGAGGCCGCCUUAAAGCUCAAUUUCCUGACAAAGUAGGGCCUACUACCUUUACAAACCCUCACCGGAAAGAUCAGGUCAUCGAGCUCCAAUACGAAGGAUGUGAUGAGAAUUAUUCGUUGAAGAGUAGAACUGGAGGGACUGCUGGGGAAGCCAAAGGGAAAGCUGAGGGCUCGAAGAAACGUAGGAGAUGUGGAACUGGAGAGAUUGACGGGGCAGAAAAUGAGAAAACCAAGGGCGAGAAGACAUGUAAGAACCGAUCAAAGAAUUGGACUGAUGAAGAAAUGAAGAGGUUGUUGGAAGUAGUUGCUCAGAGGAAGAGUGUUAAGAGUCGGUUUGAAAAGCAUUUUGGUAGAAAACGGUCAUGGGGGGACAUAGCAGAAAACGCGCCCGGAAGGACAGGGGUAGAGUGUCGAAUGAGGAUGAAUACGGUUACGAAAUCGUGCAAAACAAUCAAGCAAUUUUGUGAGAACAAGAACAAGGAGUUCAGGUAGUUGACGCCAAAGGACUUCAGAGACAUGCAGCUUCCAGCUCAGAUUAUAGAAAGUCUGUACAAUAGUUUACGUAAGUAUUGUCGACCCAGAUCAAAUAAGAUGAUGAGGAACCAAAGAGGUAGAGAUCUAGUAUAGAACGGAGUUACUUUUGUUUCCGAUUCGUCAACGUCUGAGUCUAUAGAAUGGGUGAUAAGUGAUGAAGCCAACCAGAGUGGGACACCAUUGAGGACAAAUGCAAUAGUGGUAAGUUUCCUGUACAAUGCUGUGGUAUUGAAGAUGAUGCUGUGCAUGCUUGUGUAAAUAAUUACAUGCCAGGGCAUAAAGCUACAAGAUUAUACUCCUCAAAAUUGAAGUGCUGAUGACGAAUGAGCUUGAACGAUGAAAAUGUUUUGAUUGUAAAUAUGUUUGUUCGACUUUAUUGAGGGAGAGGACUUAGUACAAUAACCAUCUCAAAAUUGUUCAGUCCUGCUUUGGACGCAAUUUUUUGUCUUGGUCAUUUUAUCUUGCACCUUAUCUGGUUGGUGAUAUUUGCGGAUGAAUCUUCAUGGCCUGAUACUGGUUUAUAGUGUGAGGCUGGUUGAGGUAGGAGUUCGAACCAAUGUUGGGCUUGUAUAUAUUAUACUUUGCCUCAGUAUAUGGAGAUAGUGUAACAAAGCAGGAGGGCAGUGUAGUGAAAUGGAAGUGAACCGUUGACGGAGUUGUGAUUGUAGAGUACAUGCUCAUAUACAGGUCCAACACUAUAUUGGUUGAUCUUUUUCUUCUUCUUUGUCAAAAACUAUAGUGAAGGUAGUUAUAUUCUCGUAUUAUUUUGGGUUCUUCAAUUGACAAUGCGGAAGCGGAAGCAAAAUCGGGAGCAUAAUCGGGAGCAAUAUGUAGAGAGGGUGUCUAGAAGAAGCAAUUUUUUGUUUCAAGUCGAGCUACGAGAUAGAUCCGGGGUCGAUGGUUGAAGCAUAUCCAGAUGUUGAGUUGCGAGAUGAUGAGCAACAAAAGAGUACAAACAUGCAGGGAGUGUGGAAGGCACUGAAGUCCGCCACCUCAAUUAAUAGUCUGUCUCUCAUCAUUAAGUGGGGCUGAUUAUCGGAGGUUGAGUAGCCGGCUAUGGGUUGUGUGCAAGAUGAGAAUCUCGAAGGUUGAUCUGAGAUAUAAUUUGGGAACUAGAACGGAUGGAUCGAAGCUGUAUUGCAGUCGAAUGUUCAGCUCUAGGGCGGGAAUUUGGUUGUAGGCAACGAGGUAUAAUUGGGCAUGAAGGUAUGAUUUUGGAAAGUUGUGUCUUGUUACGGAGUAUUAGAGCAGCUGAAGUUGUGUGGGACAUAUUGUCAAUGCUAAGAGCAUCUCCAGUAGUCCUUGGAACCGCAAGGGGAGCACGCGUCUCCACUUACGCACAUGCAUCCAGUUCCGUUAUUUUCUUGGCUCCCGCCGUGAAUUGGAAGGAACGCUUGCGGAAUUUCUUUGCAGUUAUGGAGGCUCGAAUGUUGUGGUGUGUCAGAGUCGCUCAUGACGUGCUUGACGAUACCUUCUUCUACUUCGCACGCUGAGUGGCGUAUACACCACAUGAAAUACCGGUCGCAGCUGCGAGGAGCGUUGUGAGGAGUACCGCUGGCAUGGAGGGGCGUGACUGGUUUCUGUUCAGGGCUGGGCUAUUUUCAGCCACCAGCUGGGGACUCUUCGAAUGCUUUUUCUUUUCUUUUCUUUUUUCCGAAACGGGUGCGCUGACCAAAGAAACAAUUUUUUUGUUCCUUUUUUAAAAAACCUUUGUAGUCACAUCCCUUUGCAGAUUGUGUUUUUUGUUUGUUUGUUUGUUUGUUUUUUUUUUUUUUUCUACAUGUGGCAUGAACUGAAGAGGGUUUGUACUCUCUUGUUGAGUGAGAGUAAGUUCACUAAUACUAUAUAAUUAAGCUCCGUUGAUGGGAUCAAAGUUUCAUUUUUUUAUUUUUAUUUUUAUUUUUUAUUUUAAGUUUGGUGGUUAGUAGUCCAGUUAUGGAUUUAAUAAAAUCGUCCAUGUGGUAAGUAAAAGGAAAGACCAAUUAGAGGCAUGCACGUGGCAAUUAGGAGAAAGGAGCUCAUGGCAGGGGCUAGGGGGGUACAAGUGUAUGGAAAAUGGAUCCACAAGUCCAUAUGUAGAAAAAUUAGCUUCUGCUUUGUUUUUUUCUUUUUCUUUUUCUUUUGGAGUACUAUUGGGAACACAUGGAAAAAAGGUAUUCAUGUCAGGCUUGACUAUGAAUAUGCUCUGACGAAAGAGAGGAUGCCAUGUGGGAUUAAGCACAUUAAAUUCCUAGUUGGGUGGUGUUGCAAGCUCUGCUAGAGCCAUGUAAUGGCCCCAUCCUUCUCGGGAUGAGGUGGCAUCUACAUGGCGCCGCUGAGCCUUCGCUUUCGUCAGCUGCGGUGGAGCCCAUGAGUUCUGUGCCGCCAUCUCAUGCAUUGCAUCUCCUUCAUGCCUAUGAUUCAUCGCAUGGAGCUUCUGUCGCUGGUGCGGGAGAUAUCACCUCAAUCGAGCUGGUGCCAAUAUUGGAGGACUGCACGUUCCUUAGAGGUGUAUUCUUCUUCUAAUGUGCUCUCAACUAAGAAAUUAUAUACUGUUAGAAAAGGAUUUUGACGAAAAAUAUAUCUUACAUGGGAUGAUAUAGUCCUAGUGUUAAUGGGUUUAGUAGAUCUGAAUACGAGUGCUUUAAAUCUCUCAUUGAGGCUAAGAAUUACUUAGAUUUUAGGGAUUAAGCUCAAAUAGACAAGGAUUUAAGUCCAAGCUCUACCAUAUUUGCAUAGAAUUGUGGUUGAUCUUGCCCCUUUGUUAAGCAAUCAGUAUGUUGUAGCUUGUUCGGUACAAAUGGUAUAAUUAUGUCUCUUGCUUGUCUUUUUAAAAUAAAAUGAUGUUGUAUUUUAA